GAGAGAGAGCCCCCCAACAAGAAGAAGCUUCCUUAAUUUGCGGCUUUUCGUUGAGUAGUUUGGUUUCGAUGGACAGCUAGAUAAGAUGGAUAGGUAUAUUCUUUGCAGAGAGAUGGGGGUUUUGCUGAUUGAACAGAAAUUAAACAGGCUGGGACUUGUCUGAUGCUCCAUCUGAAGUCUGAAGCUAGCUCUGCUUGCUUCUUUUACAUAUGGAGUGGUACUAGCAUCUGCAGUUCAACUAACCAAGAUGCAUGCAUAGUCAGAAGCUUGAUGGAUAUGAACUAAUGAUGAUGAUCGUGUUAAUAAUUAUGGAUAUGUCAUGAUGAUGAGUCGUUCAUUUGCCCAUCCGUGUGCCGUGGGUUCCCAAAUAAAGAAAAAGAAAGCAAAAGCAUGCAUAUAAAUAGCAAGAUGGAUCCAUGGAGAAAUCAAUCAAUUCCUGAGAGGCCAGAGGAAGAUGAGCAGAAGCAGCUUGUACAUGGUGGUGGCAGUGCUUGUUGCCGUAACGUGGACGCCGGCGCCGACGAGGGCGACGGCGGCGAGCAGGAGCUGCAGAGAGCAGUGCAAGGAAGAGUGCACGGGAUGGCUCAUCAUGUGCAAGCUCUCCUGCGCCAGCGCCUGCGCCGGA